UGUACCAUAUGAUCCGAAUGC
rnacentral:siRNA from 1 species